AUUCCCAUUCAAAGUGUAGUAUCUGUUCUUAUCAGCUUAACAUCUGAAAGCUCUCCCAUAGGGAGACAACAAAUGUUGAACUGAUUUUUGGAAAAGGGCGGAACGGUCAGGGGCUUGCACCACUUCCGUCACGGGUUGGCCCGGUAUUGCAGUACCGCCGGGAUCGGCCCACCUUUU
rfam:Aedes aegypti strain Liverpool supercont1.609 genomic scaffold, whole genome shotgun sequence.